AUUCGGAUUCGGCAAAAAUUCAGUACGGAUAUAACAUGCAUAAAAUAUAUUUUUAAAUUUUUAAAUUCGUUGAAAAAUUCGGCUUAAAAAAUAGAUUUAGUAUAAGAUAUAAAAUAUAAGAUAAUUUGUAUUUAAAAAUAAAAAUUAUAAGUUUUUUAUUCAUAUUUUCAAUAAUUCGGAAAUAAUUCGCGAAUUAUUUGGCUGGCCCAAAAAUUCGCGAAUUAUUCAGCUGGCCCAAAAAUUCGCGAAUAAUUUCAUUUCUUUAGAAAAAAUUAGUAAACGGAUUGUUUAAUUCGGAUUUUCAAUAAUUAGCGAAUAAUUCGCGAAUUAACUAAUUAGGAUCCCAACUUGGCACUCUAACACAUAUACCCAAGAAAAAGUCAAAAAGAUCAUUCACUUUUGCCUCAUUUUUAAUGGCACCAUAUUUUAAAUCAGCCAUCUACACAGUUAAAUAAGAUUCAGACUAUUAUGUCCUGAAAAUAAAAUUUUAAAAUUUUUUGACAUUUUUUUUAUCUUAUAUUUCUGUGGUCUUAAAAUCGAUAAUCUUUAACGGCUUUUAUAUUUGAUGAAUAUCAAAAUAAAUCCCAAAAUUUGAUUGUAAUUAAGAAAGUUCAAAUAUAUAAGAUAGACCAUGUUUAAUGGUUCCGAACAUCAGUUCAGAUGCUUUGUCAUCGAGCAGUGUUCAAGCUUUAUUACUGCUAUAUUAUUUAUAUAUAUUUAUUAAAUAUAUAUGAACUUAAACAGUAUAAACUAGCAUAUUGAUAAUAAUAAUAAUAAUAAUAAUAAUAAUAAUAAUAAGUGUUUUCUUGUUUGAUGGCCUAAUGAUCAAAAUGUUUUAAAAUUUUAAUGGUUAAUAUGAAGUGUUUUCUGUUUGAUGGUGUAAAGGUAUCAAAAUCAAUUGAAUUUUAAUUAAAAAGUUCUUUAAACUAUGUAAAAUAAGAUCUCUGCUCUUGCUUUUUGUAAAUCAAUUGAAUUUUAAUUAAAAAGUUCUUUAAACUAUGUAAAACAAGAUCUCUACUCUUGAUCUUGAUUACAAAAUUUCUAUCAUUAUUUUCUAAAGGAUAUUCAUUUUUAGUUGUUCACUUUUGUGUCCACUUGAUGGACAAGAAAAUAAUAUCGAAAAAGCACGAAAUUUGGUUUCUAAAUAUUUCAAAUGGUAAUGAUGUCGAUCGUCGAUUUGGAGGCUCCAUUAUCAAAACUCGUUCGCUACUAGUAACAUUCCAGCUCAAUUUAUAGUAAUAAUUAAUAAUAAAACUAUCCGACUCUACGGUA
rnacentral:lncRNA from 1 species